rnacentral:rRNA from 1 species
GGCGAACGGGUGAGUAACACGUGAGUAAUCUGCCCUCCACUUUGGGAUAGCCACCGGAAACGGUGAUUAAUACCGGAUAUGACCACGAUUCGCAUGGGUUGUGGUGGAAAGUUUUUCGGUGGGGGAUGUGCUCGCGGCCUAUCAGCUUGAUGGUGGGGUAAUGGCCUACCAUGGCUUCGACGGGUAGCCGGCCUGAGAGGGUGACCGGCCACACUGGGACUGAGACACGGCCCAGACUCCUACGGGAGGCAGCAGUGGGGAAUAUUGGACAAUGGGCGGAAGCCUGAUCCAGCAACGCCGCGUGAGGGAUGACGGCCUUCGGGUUGUAAACCUCUUUCAGCACAGACGAAGCGAAAGUGACGGUAUGUGCAGAAGAAGCACCGGCCAACUACGUGCCAGCAGCCGCGGUAAUACGUAGGGUGCGAGCGUUGUCCGGAAUUAUUGGGCGUAAAGGGCUCGUAGGCGGUUUGUCGCGUCGGGAGUGAAAACACACAGCUUAACUGUGUGCUGGCUUCCGAUACGGGCAGACUAGAGGUAUGCAGGGGAGAACGGAAUUCCUGGUGUAGCGGUGAAAUGCGCAGAUAUCAGGAGGAACACCGGUGGCGAAGGCGGUUCUCUGGGCAUUACCUGACGCUGAGGAGCGAAAGUGUGGGGAGCGAACAGGAUUAGAUACCCUGGUAGUCCACACCGUAAACGUUGGGCGCUAGGUGUGGGGCCUAUUCCAUGGGUUCCGUGCCGCAGCUAACGCAUUAAGCGCCCCGCC